rnacentral:rRNA from 1 species
GACGAACGCUGGCGGUGUGCUUAACACAUGCAAGUCGAACGGUAAGGCCCUUUCGGGGGUACACGAGUGGCGAACGGGUGAGUAACACGUGAGUAACCUGCCCUCAUCUCUGGGAUAACAGUCGGAAACGGUUGCUAAUACUGGAUAUGAGCUUGCAAGGCAUCUUGUGGGUUGGAAAGAUUUUUUUUGGUUGGGGAUGGACUCGCGGCCUAUCAGCUUGUUGGUGAGGUAGUGGCUCACCAAGGCUUCGACGGGUAGCCGGCCUGAGAGGGCGACCGGCCACAUUGGGACUGAGAUACGGCCCAAACUCCUACGGGAGGCAGAAGUGGGGAAUAUUGCACAAUGGACGGAAGUCUGAUGCAGCAACGCCGCGUGCGGGAUGACGGCCUUCGGGUUGUAAACCGCUUUCAAUUGUGACGAAGCUUUUUUGUGACGGUAGCAGUAGAAGAAGCACCGGCUAACUACGUG